CUUGGCCCCUUUCCGCCGGGCAGAAUUCCCCUGAGCCUCGCUUUCAUCUUUUGGGUUGGCGAUGAGAGUCCUGAAAGAGAUGAGAAGGUGCCUGCUGUGGGAUGGAUGCUGGGAUCAGCACCGGGAACAAAUCAGACGAGACUUUACACGUAAACCAGUGAGAGACGCUCCCAAGCACAGGGCUAGCCUUCAGCAGGGCCAGGGAGGGCUGGAACUGGACCCAAGCUCCACCCGCACAACGCGGAGGGGCCUGCAGCAGCUCUGAAGCCGGAGGAAUCCCAUUCCCAGCACCGGACUCGCGGCAGGUGACCCUGCCUUCUUCCAAGCUGGUCUGACUCUCCCUCUGCAACUCCAGCGUCCUCGAUUGCAGAAAGGACGCUCCCAAGGCCACCAGGAAGUCCUGGAAGGGCAGUGGGUCCGUCAGGGUGUCCUCGCUGCACCCGGUGAUGCACUUUCGUACUCUCCCAUCCCUGUUCACACGGCUUUGGCGCCUGAUGCCUCGAGACCGAGCAGAGACCCUCUCUGGGGAUGUGGGCUCCAGCUGUUCCCUUCCUGACCACACCAGAGCACGUCCCAGUCAUGCUGCGUAGACGGCUUGCAGAGCCUUCACCGGCUCCCGUGGGAAGAACGGGUGAGACACUGCACAAGGCUGGGCAGGUACUGUCUAGAAAAGCCCAGUGCUGCAGGCUGCAUCAGGAAGCAGGAGCCCCCAGGGCUGGGGGUCCAGAGGAACUUCCAUUCCAGGCAGAGGGCCUCUAGCCAGACUUCUGGGUCAUUCACCGGGCAUCAGCCCACCACAAGUUCUCCCUGAGCACUGUCUCCUAAGGGUGGGGUGGCUCUUCAAGUGAGUGGGCACCGCUGGCUACCAGCAGCUACGUAGCGGGCACUGUGAGGCUGUGUAUUUCAAAGUCAAGUCCCGGGCUGGCAUCCUCAUUCCAGAACUUGCUACAAAUGCAGAUCUCAGGCUCCACCCCAGACCUCCAGAAUCAAAACUCCGGAGGUCUGACCCAGCAGUCUGCAACUUAAAAACUCUCUAGGUAGUUCUCAUGCAUAACGGAGCACAAGGAGUAAUUAUGUCACUUUUUACUAGAAUACCUCCUCAGAGCAGGAUUCUAGCCCCCAACAAAGCAACCAUCCUUGGAUUAAGCCGAGCUGCCGAGCUGCCGGUCACAUACAAGUUAUACUGUAGCAUUGUGUACGGUGGUAACAACCUGGAAACAAAGUGGUGUCCCUCAGGGAGAAAAUAGGUAAAUAGCCUAUGGGAACACUCACUUGGGAAUACUAUGCAGUCAUUAAAAGAAGGAAGUAGAUACCCACACAGUGAUGUGCAAAGAUCUCCAGAGUGUACCAUUCAGUAAAAAAGAAUACCUAUAGCUCAGAUUUGGGUGAAAAAAUAUGUCAAUGUACCCCAAGCAAAUCUGUGUAUCUACAUAUAUAAAAGUGUGCUUUUAAAAAAAGCAUGAAAGAAGGCCCACCCAACUGUUUCCCUGCAAGGAGGAGACUGAGAUGGGAGAACUCUAGCUUUGACCAUUGUUUAUCUUUCUUCAGUAUCUGGUUUAUUUAUGGCAUUAAAUGUCAAUCUUUUUUGUGA